UCGUAACAAGGUUUCCGUAGGUGAACCUGCGGAAGGAUCAUUACCGAGUGCGGGCCCUCUGGGUCCAACCUCCCACCCGUGUCUAUUGUACCUUGUUGCUUCGGCGGGCCCGCCGUUCUCGAACGGCCGCCGGGGAGGCCCUCGCGCCCCCGGGCCCGCGCCCGCCGAAGACCCCAACAUGAACGCUGUUCUGAAAGUAUGCAGUCUGAGUUUGAUUACCAUAAUCAGUUAAAACUUUCAACAACGGAUCUCUUGGUUCCGGCAUCGAUGAAGAACGCAGCGAAAUGCGAUAAGUAAUGUGAAUUGCAGAAUUCAGUGAAUCAUCGAGUCUUUGAACGCACAUUGCGCCCCCUGGUAUUCCGGGGGGCAUGCCUGUCCGAGCGUCAUUGCUGCCCUCAAGCACGGCUUGUGUGUUGGGCCCCCGUCCCCGGUUCUCCCCGGGGACGGGCCCGAAAGGCAGCGGCGGCACCGCGUCCGGUCCUCGAGCGUAUGGGGCUUUGUCACCCGCUCUGUAGGCCUGGCCGGCGCCAGCCGACCCCCCAACUUUAUUUUUCUAAGGUUGACCUCGGAUCAGGUAGGGAUACCCGCUGAACUUAAGCAUAUCA
rnacentral:misc_RNA from 1 species